GUGGUGGCUCAGUGGUAGAGUGCUUGCCUUGCAUGCAUGAGGCCCUGGGUUCAAUUCUUUAGCACCACA
rfam:Dipodomys ordii contig_59264, whole genome shotgun sequence.